rnacentral:piRNA from 1 species
UGACUUCUGAUAGGCCUUGGCA